UAACGCGUGGGUAACCUGCCUUACACUGGGGGAUAACACUUANAAAUAGGUGCUAAUACCGCAUAAGCGCACGAAGCCGCAUGGAUUUGUGUGAAAAACUCCGGUGGUGUAAGAUGGACCCGCGUCUGAUUAGCUUGUUGGCGGGGUAACGGCCCACCAAGGCGACGAUCAGUAGCCGGCCUGAGAGGGUGGACGGCCACAUUGGGACUGAGACACGGCCCAAACUCCUACGGGAGGCAGCAGUGGGGGAUAUUGGACAAUGGGGGGAACCCUGAUCCAGCGACGCCGCGUGAGUGAAGAAGUAUUUCGGUAUGUAAAGCUCUGUCAGCAGGGAAGAAAGAAAUGACGGUACCUGACCAAGAAGCCCCGGCUAACUACGUGCCAGCAGCCGCGGUAAUACGUAGGGGGCAAGCGUUAUCCGGAAUUACUGGGUGUAAAGGGAGCGUAGACGGUUAAGUAAGUCUGGAGUGAAAGGCCGGGGCCCAACCCCGGGACUGCUCUGGAAACUAUUGAACUUGAGUGCAGGAGAGGUAAGCGGAAUUCCUAGUGUAGCGGUGAAAUGCGUAGAUAUUAGGAGGAACACCAGUGGCGAAGGCGGCUUACUGGACUGUAACUGACGUUGAGGCUCGAAAGCGUGGGGAGCAAACAGGAUUAGAUACCCUGGUAGU
rnacentral:rRNA from 1 species